rnacentral:rRNA from 1 species
UGCCAGCAGCCGCGGUAAUACGGAGGGUGCGAGCGUUAUCCGGAAUCACUGGGUUUAAAGGGUGCGUAGGCGGCUUGGUAAGUCAGUAGUGAAAGCUCACCGCUCAACGGUGGAACUGCUAUUGAUACUGCCAGGCUCGGAUCGGCGCGAGGCAGGCGGAAUGUGGCAUGUAGCGGUGAAAUGCUUAGAUAUGCCAUAGAACACCGAUUGCGUAGGCAGCUUGCCAGAGCCGUAUCGACGCUGAGGCACGAAAGCGUGGGGAGCGAACAGGAUUAGAUA